UUACGGCCACAUCAUGUGAAAACGCCAGUUCCUGUAUGAUCACCGAUGUUAAGCAAACUUGAGACUGGUCAGUACGUAGAAGGGUAACCACUUGAGAAUAACAGGUUCUGUAA